UACGGGAGGCAGCAGUGGGGAAUCUUGCGCAAUGGGCGAAAGCCUGACGCAGCCAUGCCGCGUGAAUGAUGAAGGUCUUAGGAUUGUAAAAUUCUUUUCACCGGGGACGAUAAUGACGGUACCCGGAGAAGAAGCCCCGGCUAACUUCGUGCCAGCAGCCGCGGUAAUACGAAGGGGGCUAGCGUUGCUCGGAAUUACUGGGCGUAAAGGGAGCGUAGGCGGACAUUUAAGUCAGGGGUGAAAUCCCGGGGCUCAAACCUCGGAAUUGCCUUUUGAUACUGGGUGUCUUGAGUAUGAGAGAGGUGUGUGGAACUCCGAGUGUAGAGGUGAAAUUCGUAGAUAUUCGGAAAGAACACCAGUGGCGAAGGCGACACACUGGCUCAUUACUGACGCUGAGGCUCGAAAAGCGUGGGGAGCAAAACAGGGAUUAGAUACC
rnacentral:rRNA from 1 species